AGUGAACGCUGGCGGCAGGCCUAACACAUGCAAGUCGAGCGGCAGCGGGUUCCCGCGAGGGGAUGCCGGCGAGCGGCGGACGGGUGAGGAACACAUCGGAAUCUGCCUGGUUGUGGGGGAUAACGUAGGGAAACUUACGCUAAUACCGCAUGAGACCCUGAGUCGACGGACUGGGGGUGAAAGUGAGGGACCUUCGGGCCUCACGCGACCAGAUGAGCCGAUGUCGGAUUAGCUAGUUGGCGGGGUAACGGCCCGCCAAGGCGACGAUCCGUAGCUGGUCUGAGAGGAUGAUCAGCCACACUGGGACUGAGACACGGCCCAGACUCCUACGGGAGGCAGCAGUGGGAAUCUUGGACAAUGGGCGCAAGCCUGAUCCAGCCAUGCCGCGU
rnacentral:rRNA from 1 species